rnacentral:lncRNA from 1 species
UUUGGACUCUUGAAGAUGGAAACUGUUCUUAGAAGAGGCCUGAAGAGAAACAUGACUGACUAGGUAAGAUUAGAGGCUAUACCAGAUGUUUGGGUCACUCUCUGGAGGUUCCUGGGGCAGCAAGUAGAAGCUCAGCCAGUACUACGCAAGGGGGCUUUUUCCAAGCCCUUUCAGGGGCCAUGUCCUGGACAGAAACCUACCCUGAGGAGCCAGAGCACUGCGGGCAGGAGAGGAGGACCUGCCUGGAG